CAAUAAGCGGAGGAAAAGAAACCAACAGGGAUUGCCCUAGUAACGGCGAGUGAAGCGGCAACAGCUCAAAUUUGAAAUCUGGCGUGAGCCCGAGUUGUAAUUUGUAGAGGACGCUUUGGGGCGGCCGCCGGUCUAAGUUCCUUGGAACAGGACGUCGUAGAGGGUGAGAAUCCCGUAUGUGACCGGCCCGGCGCCCCGGACAAAGCUCCUUCGACGAGUCGAGUUGUUUGGGAAUGCAGCUCUAAAUGGGAGGUAAAUUUCUUCUAAAGCUAAAUACCGGCCAGAGACCGAUAGCGCACAAGUAGAGUGAUCGAAAGAUGAAAAGCACUUUGGAAAGAGAGUCAAAAAGCACGUGAAAUUGUUGAAAGGGAAGCGCUUGCAACCAGACCUGCCAACGGUGUUCCCCCGGUCCUCCGACCGGCCCAGUCACCGCAAGCAGGCCAGCAUCAUCCGGUGCCGCCGGACAAAGGUGCCCGGAAUGUGGCCCCCCGGGGGUGUUAUAGCCGGGCUCGCAAUACGGCGCGCGCCGGGUGAGGUCCGCGCCUCGGCCAGGAUGCUGGCGUAAUGGUUGUAAGCGGCCC
rnacentral:rRNA from 1 species